rnacentral:tRNA from 1 species
UUACUGAUAGGUUAUUUAAACUGGCAAAUUGUGGUUUUGUUGAUUACUUCUUUUUUGUAUCAGUAAA